GAUGAACGCUGGCGGCGUGCCUAAAACAUGCAAGUCGAGCGGCAGCACGGUCUUCGGACUGGUGGCGAGCGGCGGACGGCUGAGUAACGCGUAGGAACAUACCCCAAAGUGAGGGAUAAUUCCGAGAAAUCGGGACUAAUACCGCAUGUGGUCUAAGGAUUAAAGCUUUAUGCGCUUUGGGAAUGGCCUGCGUUUGAUUAGCUAGUUGGUGAGGUAAUAGCUCACCAAGGCUACGAUCAAUAGCUGGUCUGAGAGGAUGAUCAGCCAGACUGGGACUGAGACACGGCCCAGACUCCUACGGGAGGCAGCAGUUAGGAAUUUUCCACAAUGGGCGAAAGCCUGAUGGAGCAACGCCGCGUGCAGGAUGAAUGCCUUCGGGUUGUAAACUGCUUUUAUAUGUGACGAAUAUGACGGUAGCAUAUGAAUAAGGAUCGGCUAACUCCGUGCCAGCAGCCGCGGUAA
rnacentral:rRNA from 1 species